rnacentral:rRNA from 1 species
UGAAGUUUUCUUUUAGAGAAUUAAGAUUUGAUCAUGGUUUUAAAUGAUUUUAAAUGGUAUUAUCUAAAUUUGAUUUACGGAGUGGACAAUGAAAAUUUAUCCCGGCAAAUUAUCGCUUGUAAAAUACUUGUUCCAGAAUAAUCGGCUAGACUUGUUAAGCUUGUACUUUAAUUGUUGUUAACUAUAAAUUUAUUUUUAUAACUUUAAAAGUUUAAGGUAGAAUUAGAACUUUUUUAUGUAUAGUUUUAUAGUUUUAAAUUUUGUUGAACGAAUUAGAUUAGUACCUAAUUAGACAAAAAUUAAAAGAGCAGAAGUAAAGUUGUAUUUAAACUGAAAAGAUAUUGGCAGACAUUCUAAAUUAUCUUUGGAGGCUGAGUAAUAAUUGAGAACCCCCAUUAACUACUUAGUUUUUAGACUCAUGUAUGAUCGUUUAUUUUAUUCUUAAUAUAAAUAA